UACGUAGGGCGCAAGCGUUAUCCGGAAUUAUUGGGCGUAAAGAGCUCGUAGGCGGUUUGUCGCGUCUGCCGUGAAAGUCCGGGGCUCAACUCCGGAUCUGCGGUGGGUACGGGCAGACUAGAGUGAUGUAGGGGAGACUGGAAUUCCUGGUGUAGCGGUGAAAUGCGCAGAUAUCAGGAGGAACACCGAUUGCGAAGGCAGGUACCUGGGCCUUUACUGACGCUGAGACUCGAAAGCUAGGGGAGCAAACAGG
rnacentral:rRNA from 1 species